rnacentral:misc_RNA from 1 species
GAAGUAAAAGUCGUAACAAGGUUUCCGUAGGUGAACCUGCGGAAGGAUCAUUACCGAGUGAGGGCCCUUUGGGUCCAACCUCCCACCCGUGUUUAUUUUACCUUGUUGCUUCGGCGGGCCCGCCUUUACUGGCCGCCGGGGGGCUCACGCCCCCGGGUCCGCGCCCGCCGAAGACACCCUCGAACUCUGUCUGAAGAUUGAAGUCUGAGUGAAAAUAUAAAUUAUUUAAAACUUUCAACAACGGAUCUCUUGGUUCCGGCAUCGAUGAAGAACGCAGCGAAAUGCGAUACGUAAUGUGAAUUGCAAAUUCAGUGAAUCAUCGAGUCUUUGAACGCACAUUGCGCCCCCUGGUAUUCCGGGGGGCAUGCCUGUCCGAGCGUCAUUGCUGCCCUCAAGCCCGGCUUGUGUGUUGGGCCCCGUCCUCCGAUUCCGGGGGACGGGCCCGAAAGGCAGCGGCGGCACCGCGUCCGGUCCUCGAGCGUAUGGGGCUUUGUCACCCGCUCCGUAGGCCCGGCCGGCGCUUGCCGAUCAACCCAAAUUUUUAUCCAGGUUGACCUCGGAUCAGGUAGGGAUACCCGCUGAACUUAAGCAUAUCAAUAAGCGGAGGAA